rnacentral:rRNA from 1 species
CCUACGGGUGGCAGCAGUGGGGAAUAUUGCACAAUGGGGGAAACCCUGAUGCAGCGACGCCGCGUGAGUGAAGAAGUACUUCGUUAUGUAAAGCUCUCUCAGCAGGGAAGAAAAUGACGGUACCUGAGUAAGAAGCCCCGGCUAACUACGUGCCAGCAGCCGCGGUAAUACGUAGGGGGCAAGCGUUAUCCGGAUUUACUGGGUGGAAAGGGAGCGUAGACGGCAGUGCAAGUCUGGAGUGAAAGGCGGGGGCUCAACCCCCGGACUGCUCUGGAAACUGGACGGCUGGAGUGCAGGAGAGGUAAGUGGAAUUCCUAGUGUAGCGGUGAAAUGCGUAGAUAUUAGGAGGAACACCAGUGGCGAAGGCGGCUUACUGGACUGUAACUGACGUUGAGGCUCGAAAGCGUGGGGAGCAAACAGGAUUAGAUACCCGAGUAGUC